rnacentral:rRNA from 1 species
UUUAAAGUCUAACCUGCCCAAUGAGGAAUUGAAUGGCCGCGGUAAUUUGACCGUGCAAAGGUAGCAUAAUCAUUAGUUUUUUAAUUGAAAGCUGGAAUGAACGGUUGGACGAGAAAAUAACUGUCUCAAUUUAAAUUUUAGUAGAAUUUUAUUUGUAAGUAAAAAAGCUUACAUGAUUUUAAAAGACGAGAAGACCCUAUAGAGUUUUAUAAUUUAUUAUAUUAAAAGAGUUUAGAAUAUUUAUUUUUUAUAUAUAAUAAAUUAUUUUGCUGGGGCAGCAGGAAAAUUUAUUAAACUUUUUUUCAAUACAAACAUUGAUUUAUGAUUUAAUGAUCCAUUUUUUAUGAUUAUAAGAUUAAAUUACCUUAGGGAUAACAGCGUAAUUUUUUUUUAGAGUUCUAAUCGAAAAAAGAGUUUGCGACCUCGAUGUUGGAUUAAAAUUAACUUUUGGUGUAGGGGCUAAAAGGUUAGGUCUGUUCGACCUUUAAAAUUUUACAUGAUCUGAGUUUAAACCGGCGUAAGCCAGGUUGGUUUCUAUCUUUAAACAAUUUAAAUACUUUAGUACGAAAGGAUUAGGUAUUUUUAAUAUUUAAUAUAAUUUGAAUAGGAUUAUU